CAUUAUCCAUAGAGACUUAAAAGCGACAAACAUCCUGUUGAAUGAAAAAAUGCAAGCGAAAAUAUCUGACUUUGGUCUCUCAAGAACAUUUACAGCUGAGACUGAUGCUCAUGUGUCAACUCGUGCUGGCACUCCUGGCUACCUCGACCUUGAUACUCAUGUAUCAACUCGUGAUGUUGGCACUCUUGGCUACCUCGACCUUGAUACUCAUGUAUCAACUCGUGAUGUUGGCACUCUUGGCUACCUCGACCCUGAGUAAGGGCUUAAACUUAAUCUCAUUAAUAUGCUAUAUGGUCUUUGUAUGGAUAGAAAAUCUAGCUCUCCCUGAGAUUGCAUUGAAGACUCAUGUACUUGUAAGUAGCGUAUACAACUUUACUGAAGAAAAGUUCAGCGUUGACAAAUGACUCUAGAGUCCAAAAAGCAAUAUAUUAAGACCUGGCAAAUUUAUCCUCGGUUGUGUUCUCAUAUGUCCUGCAG
rnacentral:lncRNA from 1 species